GUUGACGUUGUUUUCUUGAUAGACGAGUCUGGCAGUGUUGGAAGCACAAACUUUCAUGAAUGCCUCGAUUUUGUAAAGAACAUGACAAAAGCAUUUCCCGAUGAUAAACUCAGCGGAAAAGAUGGCACCAGAUUCAGUUUGUCCACAUUCAGUUCCAGCUACAGAUCACAUUUCUAUUUAUCAAACUACACAAAGCAGUCAGCCUACCUUUCCGCAAUUAGUCGAGUUUCCUACUCCGGUGGAGGUACCCAACUUGGUCGAGCUCUACAACACAUCUUAACCGAUCAAUUCACGGAAGAACGAGGUCUGCGUGCAGAAGUAGAUGGCGUACCUCGUGUUUUGAUUGUUCUAACGGACGGUAAAUCGCAC
rnacentral:lncRNA from 1 species